CCAUACACGGACCACCCUCUGCAUGCCCAUCAAGUCCUUUUUCAAUCUUAACCAGAGACAAGAACAGAAAUUACUGGACUAAAAUGGGAAUAGAAAUUGGUUUAAAAUCCAAAGGUUGUUGAAAGAUCACUGCACCUGGCUUGCAGGGAACCCAAAAUCCUGCUGUCACGGCAUGAGGCCAUCGAAAUUUCCAGCCAUUUCCCAUGACAUUUCAGUCAACGUGAAAAUGAAGCCAAUGUCUUGAGCUUCCGUCGUGAGAAACUCAAGUGAAAUGCCCCUCCCCCUCCCUUCCAUCCCUCUGAUUGACUCUUCCUUCCAGCCACCUACUGGAUUCAUCCCUCCCAUCUACCUGCAUUCACCUAUCACUACUUCACCACUUAGCCCCUCUCCCACCCAAACCUCUCACCCACACCCCCCCCCCCACCUCCUUUUAUCUGCAGCUCCACCAACAGCCAUCCCCAAUCCUGAAGAAGAGCUACCUGAAACGUUGACAUUUCCUGAUGCUGCCCGGCUUGCUGUGUUCUUCCAGCUUCCUGCUUGCCCACCCUGGGAUAGCUACAGGUGGAAGGAAGGUUGCCUUCAGAAGUUGGUGGCGAGCUGUCUUUUCGAACCACUGCAGUCUCACAAAGCAUUAGGAGGGAAUUCCAGGAUUUUGACCCAGCAAUACUGAAGGAAUGGUGAUAUAUUUCCAAGUGAAGAUGAUGUUGGUGUCACUUUACCCAGCCACAGACUCCAGAGGGCAGAUCUUCCAUGGGAAUCAGAGCAACAUCGGACAAGGGAUAGAGGCCACGGUACGUUGAGUUUCCAAAUUGGCAGAAAGUGAGGACUGCAGAUGCUGGAGAGUCAGAAUCAAAAAGUGUAACCUGCAAUGCUUUUCCACCACCAUAUUUUUUGACUCAAUCUAACUUACUGAUCAUUUACCAUCUGCAUUGGUAGGAAGUCUUUAGCCAGAAAAGCCAAUCUUCACGGACCCAUUCAAAUAGCCGACAAGUGUCCUGCAUUCACACAGUACCUUUCACCUCCAGAACUAUUCCACAGAGCACCAAUAACAAUACCUCGAUUAAUGGUCAGGAAGUUGUGGGCUCAAGUCAUCACAUAAUCCAAGCUGAUACACCUAGUGCAGUACUGAGGGGAGUGUUGCACUGUCAGAUGUGUGGCCUUUAGAAUGCUGUGUGAAAUCAAAGUUUUGUCUACUUUCCAGGGAGUUGGAGCAGGUCCCACAAGACAAUUUAUUAAAAGAAAUGCAUCAGAAUUUUGCUCAGUGUUCUGGCUGACAAUUACUGCUCAAACAAUAUUAUCAAUUUGUUGUGACAUUGUGGUCUGUGGGAGAUUGUUCUGACUGAUGCAAUUCAACAUGAACAUAGUGACUACAUCACAAUGGCCAUAAUGGUAUUUGGUCACUUGGAGUUUGCAAAAUGCACUCUCUUACAUUAGAGCAGCAAACUUUCCAAUUUCCUGGCCUCUAUCACCCUGCAGUAUUUUUAUUCCAAAAUAUAAG